rnacentral:rRNA from 1 species
GCCUGAUGCAGCGACGCCGCGUGAGGGAUGACGGCCUUCGGGUUGUAAACCUCUUUCAGCAGGGACGAAGCGCAAGUGACGGUACCUGUAGAAGAAGGACCGGCCAACUACGUGCCAGCAGCCGCGGUAAUACGUAGGGUCCGAGCGUUGUCCGGAAUUACUGGGCGUAAAGAGCUCGUAGGUGGUUUGUCGCGUUGUUCGUGAAAACUCACAGCUUAACUGUGGGCGUGCGGGCGAUACGGGCAGACUGGAGUACUGCAGGGGAGACUGGAAUUCCUGGUGUAGCGGUGGAAUGCGCAGAUAUCAGGAGGAACACCGGUGGCGAAGGCGGGUCUCUGGGCAGUAACUGACGCUGAGGAGCGAAAGCGUGGGGAGCGAACAGGAUUAGAUACCCUGGUAGUCCACGCCGUAAACGGUGGGUACUAGGUGUGGGUUUCCUUCCUUGGGAUCCGUGCCGUAGCUAACGCAUUAAGUACCCCGCCUGGGGAGUACGGCCGCAAGGCUAAAACUCAAAGAAAUUGACGGGGGCCCGCACAAGCGGCGGAGCAUGUGGAUUAAUUCGAUGCAACGCGAAGAACCUUACCUGGGUUUGACAUGCACAGGACGUGCCUAGAGAUAGGUAUUCCCUUGUGGCCUG